rnacentral:rRNA from 1 species
AGAAUCAACGCUGGCGGCGUGCCUAACACAUGCAAGUCGAACGAGAAAGUGGAGCAAUCCAUGAGUAAAGUGGCGCACGGGUGAGUAACACGUGACUAACCUACCCUUGAGUGGGGGAUAACCUAGAGAAAUCUGGCUAAUACCGCAUAAUACCUUCGGGUACAAAGGAGCAAUUCGCUUAAGGAGGGGGUCGCGGCCGAUUAGUUAGUUGGCGGGGUAAUGGCCCACCAAGACUGUGAUCGGUA